rnacentral:rRNA from 1 species
AUAAUAAUUUGUCUUUUAAUUAAAGGCUGGAAUGAAAGAUUGAACGAGAUAUAAACUGUCUUUUUUUAAAUAAUAUUUUAAUUUAAUAUUUAAGUCAAAAAGCUUAAAUUUUUUUAAAGGACGAGAAGACCCUAUAGAGUUUUAUAAUAAAAUUUUUAUUUUAUUUUAAAUUUAUUUUAUAAUUUUUUUAUUAUUUUAUUGGGGUGAUAAAGAAAUUUAAUAAACUUUUUUAUUUAAUUUUACAUUAAUUUAUGAAUUUUUGAUCUUAAAUUUUAGAUUAUUAGAUUAAAUUACCUUAGGGAUAACAGCGUUAUUUUUUUUAGAGUACUUAUCGAUAUUAAAGAUUGC